CCUACGGGAGGCAGCAGUGAGGAAUAUUGGUCAAUGGGCUUACGCCUGAACCAGCCAAGUCGCGUGAGGGAAGACUGCCCUAUGGGUUGUAAACCUCUUUUGUCAGGGAGCAAUUGGCGCUACGUGUAGCGUUAUCGAGAGUACCUGACGAAAAAGCAUCGGCUAACUCCGUGCCAGCAGCCGCGGUAAUACGGAGGAUGCGAGCGUUAUCCGGAUUGAUUGGGUUUAAAGGGUGCGUAGGCGGAAUGCCAAGUCAGCGGUAAAAUCGCGGGGCUCAACCUCGCUCCGCCGUUGAUACUGGCGUUCUUGAGUGGGCGAGAAGUAGGCGGAAUGCGUGGUGUAGCGGUGAAAUGCAUAGAUAUCACGCAGAACUCCGAGUGUGAAGGCAGCAUACCGGCGCCCAACUGACGCUGAAGCACGAAAGCGUGGGUAUCGAACAGGAUUAGAUACCCCAGUAGUC
rnacentral:rRNA from 1 species